UUGAAAACUGUAAUGCCUUUUUCAGCUAUCCAUUGGACUCAACAUGCCUUGGAAUUUACUUUGUUUCAAAUCUGUCUAAACAAAUGAAUCUUGUAUUACUUGAUGAACUAAAACAGAAAAUGGUGCUUUUGCCACUGAAGUCUGGAUAUGUGGCAUUGCCACUGCUGUACUAGUUGGCUUCUUUUUGCUUUCUCAACAGCAUGCUACCAUUUGCAGUUGUUGAUUUUCUGGAUGGUGGAGGUGUAUCCAUAAUUCCUUGCAAGUGGUUUACAGGACCAGCGGAAGAUUCUUGUUUCUGGCCACCAGGGAGAGUCAAUAUCAAUAAGGCUGUAAAGGAUGGAGUUACUCCAGAUGCAAACUGGUCACAGUACAGAGUUCGCAUCUUGGGGAAAGCUGAAAACUAUGAAAAUGCCAGGGUGAAACUGCGGAGGUCUGAAGCAACCUCUGAUCUGCAGACUGAGUCAGAUUCUGGAAGCAGAUUGGGAAAAGGGAAGCAGAAAAGGAGGCCAGUGAUCCAGUCAAGCUCGGAUGAGGAUUGGGACAACGCUGCGGAAC